GCCGCAUCAGGCGGCGGAAGCGAGGUGGGGAGGCGGCGUUGCGCUCCAGGGAUGCAACAGAGAGGCGUCGAGGCGGCGAUGCCCUCGAGCGCCGCAUUAGGCGGCGACAUCGAGGCGGGGAGGCGGCGCUGCGCUCCGAGGAUGCAGCAGCGAGGCGUCGAGGAGCCGCUGUGCUCGGGUGCCGCAUCAGGCGGCGGCAGCGAGGCAGGAGGCGCACGGGGAGAUGAAGGAGGAGAAAAUGGAGAGUCGGCCGGGGCACGGACCACAGCGGCGCAAGCUUGCAGGGGGCGAUGGCCAUAGCAGGGAGGCGGCGCUACGCUCGGGCACCGCAUGCCUCCUCUGUAUCUCCUUUCUUUCUUCCCCAACUCCUUCUCUCUUGCACGUCGCCGUCUUGCUGGCCACGCAGUAAAGAGAUCGAGGAAGAGGCGGGAGUCGGGUCAAUCGAUCUGUCGCACGACGGAUGCUGCACUCCCUUUUCCAUCUAGCAACGGGCCGCAGAGGGAGGUGGAAGAGGAGCCACAACCUCCGAGCAGGAUGCUGCCGCCUAACACGCAUCUGACCAUGAGCUGGAGGAUAAGGUUGGAGAUUUGGUAUCGGAUGCUGCUCCAAGAACGAGGGGCCAAGGUGCUGAACUAACAGCAGGGGGAGGAUGAUUCUUCAGGGAGCUGCACAGAUUUGGAACAACUUCCAGAACAUGCACCAAGCAUUUUGGUCAGGUACCACUAAGCUGCCAGAGCAAGAUAGCUGGGAUGUCAAGUCCCUAGGGCAAUGGUAAAUCUCAAAUUGCCUGAUGUUCGAUGGGAAGCAUCAGACAAUACCAAUGUCCAGUAGUAAGAUCUGAUUGUGCAGGUGGUCAAGCCAAGAUAAGUGUGCGUGCAUCACCGUUUAGUCAAGAUUUAGAAAAAGAUGAUGUCUGCUAUGAUAGUUUCCAGAAUAGUUUGGCCCUUGAGACACUUCCACUGUAUGCAUGUGUGUUCCUUUUUUUCCAAAGAUAUGCAUGUCUAUUGAUUAUUAUUGGAAUUGGUUCAACAAACAGUGCAUAUGUGACAAAAUUACUAAAAUAUACUGACCGAGCCUGAUAAUAUGACUAAUCCAUACAGUGGAUAUGCGCCAAUGCUCAAAUUUUAAAAAUGAAGGAUUCAACUUUUUUGGAUUAUUAUUAUUUGUGAACUCGCGAGUAUGCCUAGCAAUCGUAAAAAAAUAUAUAGUUCGACUUAGUGGUAGGUUCUGCAGUAGUCUUGCCUUGAAGGUUCCGUUCAUAGUAAAAAUUGAUAUGUCUUUAUGAAGUAAUCUGAGCAUUUUGUUGGUUGCAGGUCAACUUUGUUCUCCAAUAUAGGUGGUGUAUGUUUGUGCAAAAUGAUUAUGAAAGGACUUCUGGUAACUUUAUCUUUUGUCAAGGUUGUUUACUUGGUGGAGCAAACUUCCAUUUCCUCUGAACAGGGUCAACGAGUCGAGCAGAUCCUGGACCAUCACAUGAACACAUGAAACAGGUCGAUACCGGCAGCUUUUGGUAACCAUUCUAAGAUCUAGCACCUUGAUGCAAGCCAGAAUAGCCUCACUGGAUCAACAUUCCCGGGAAUAACAGAAUUGGUGAACCAGUUGACACUUGAUCUUAACUAAUCAGUUAAUUAAACCCUGAAUCUGAAUGAAGGGCUCCUUGGUUAAUUUUUUCACAAGUAGUCCAAUGAUUCAGGGGUUUAGACUUUAGUGUUUUUGGAUUAUUACGGGGCAGCAACCCUGCUUUUGAGCACAUCCAAACAAAUUGAAUCAGGGUCUCUGCUUUUGGUUGUUCAAGUUUGUGGUAAAUCAUUAUGAACAAUUGUGUUUCCGGUGGCAGCUAAAUACAUUGGUAGAUCUGCACCAUACUCUGCUCCUAUUGAUUGAUGAUCACAAGUCACAACCCAAUUUUAGAUCUAUUUGAUUUGUUUCGUUUAGUGUUGGAUGGUGCAAAUUAAAGAAAGUGUACUAUCAUUCAUCAAUUUACUAAAUCUGGCCUGAAUGCGCCGUUGCCUGGAUUUCUAAAUCUUAUCCAAUUAUCUGGUCAUCAUUUCCUUAGCUGUUUGACUGGAGCACAUUCUCUUGAUUGAGGAGAUGAAUCUAACUGAACCUUCUUAGCUUAGAAACAAAAGUCAUUCUUUCGAUGAACCGAGAACUAUUGCGGUUAAUUUGUCAGCAAUUGUGUUCCUUCUGUACUUUAAUUCUUGGUCUGUGUUGAGUUGGGGGAUUUUUACAGUCUGACAACAAGAAUCUUAGACAGUCUGAAAUUAGUUGUUUUUUGGAUUAUCAAGUGAGAGAGACAUGGUCCUUGAGUUGCUGUACCAAUGUAUGUUUAGGGUUUAGUGAGAUUUUCUUCCUGUAAGGUGCGGUUCUUGGGGAUAGAUAAAAUACCAGUCACAUUCAAUUUGUUGUGAAGUCUACCAUUUUAGUUCAAAUGCCACCUUACCAAAAAUAGAGAACACUUUUGCCACUGGAGUAGGAUAACAAACAUGAAACCAGUUAAUCAGUGUAUCAUAGAUGACUGCUUAUUUCUAAAUCACCAGGGCGCUCUCCCUGCAACGGAACUACUUGGGCGUCUUUGACGGCAACAUGCUUGAUACUGAGGCUGAAGACUAGCAUGGUUGAUGAGCUAAAGUGGCGGGUGGAGCUGGACCACAAGUCCACGACGCUCGUGUAGAAGGAUCACGUCGGCGGUGGCGGCUGCCCAGGCCAUGGCCAUGAUCACCAAUCUGCAGGAGGAGAAGGUGGCGAUGCGGACGGAGGAGUAUCGAUUGGUCAUGGAGGAGUAGAGUGUGUAUGAUUGUGAUGAGGCUGAGCGUCUGGCUGCUGAGAAGUGCUUUGUUUUGGGCAAGCCAAAAUACUUGAAAAAAAAGAGAAAAUACUCUUCCCAACUAAGCAACCAACUAUUUGUAAAAGUUCCUAAAAAUGCUCUAAAAAAACUAUAUGCAAAAAAAAAACCUAACACAGUAAAUAUAGUUUUAAAAUGUUCACAGUUCUACAUAUG